UGCAUUUCCCAGCUCCCACCAUCUGGCCAAGCCUGGGCCGGAAGGCAGACAGGGGAGGGGAGAGCUGUGGAGGGGCUCCGACUGUUUGCAGCCCACCUCUCACCCAGACCUUCCCCUCUUCCUCAUCUGUCGACGUUAUGGCAUCAUUGCAAGGCCAGAUCAUCGUCAUCUCACAGGCUGGAGUGAAGUAGCACAAUCUUGGCUCACUGGAACCUCUGCCUCCCAGCUUCAAGUGAUUCUCCUGCCUCGGCCUCUUGAGUAGGCUGGGACUUACAGAAAACUGAGACUCCGGCAUGGAAAAUGGCAGAGCUUUAUGAUGAAACUGGAACUCUGGAUCGCUGCUUGAAGAAGAAAGGCACACCGGUCAGGACACCUGUUUUUGACUU